AUUGAACGCUGGCGGCAGGCCUAACACAUGCAAGUCGAGCGAGCGGCGGACGGGUGAGUAAUGUAUGGGGACUGCCCGUGAUGGGGGGGUAACUACUGUAGACGAGGGAUAAUACCCCGUACUACCGGAUAAUCCCUAUGGGAUUAGCGAUUAGGUAAGGUAAUGGCUUACCAAGGGGACGAUCCCUAGCUGGGCUGAGAGGGUGAUCAGCCACACUGGGACUGAGACACGGCCCAGACUCCUACGGAGGCAGCAGUGGGGAAUAUUGCACAAUGGGCGAAAGCCUGAUGCAGCCAUGCCGCGUGUAUGAAGAAGGCCCUAGGGUUGUAAAGUACUUUCAGUCGGGAGGCGUUACCGACAGAAGAAGCACCGGCUAACUCCGUGCCAGCCGCCGCGGUAAUUC
rnacentral:rRNA from 1 species